AACGAACGCUGGCGGCAUGCCUAACACAUGCAAGUCGAACGAGACCUUCGGGUCUAGUGGCGCGCGGGCGCGUAACGCGUGGGAAUCUGCCCUUGGGUUCGGAAUAACAGUUAGAAAUGACUGCUAAUACCGGAUAAUGACGUAAGUCCAAAGAUUUAUCGCCCAAGGAUGAGCCCGCGUAGGAUUAGCUUGUUGGUGAGGUAAAGGCUCACCAAGGCGACGAUCCUUAGCUGGUCUGAGAGGAUGAUCAGCCACACUGGGACUGAGACACGGCCCAGACUCCUACGGGAGGCAGCAGUGGGGAAUAUUGGACAAUGGGCGAAAGCCUGAUCCAGCAAUGCCGCGUGAGUGAUGAAGGCCUUAGGGUUGUAAAGCUCUUUUACCCGGGAUGAUAAUGACAGUACCGGGAGAAUAAGCCCCGGCUAACUCCGUGCCAGCCGCCGCGGUAAGAC
rnacentral:rRNA from 1 species